rnacentral:rRNA from 1 species
GACAUAGGUGGCAAACGUUAUCCGGAAUUAUUGGGCGUAAAGAGCUCGUAGGCGGUUUGUCGCGUCUGCUGUGAAAAUCCAGGGCUUAACCCUGGACCUGCAGUGGGUACGGGCAGACUGGAGUGCGGUAGGGGAGAUCGGAAUUCCUGGUGUAGCGGUGAAAUGCUUAGAGAUGACACAGAACACCGAUUGCGAAGGCAGCCCACUACGCAACUAUUGACGCUGAGGCACGAAAGCGUGGGGAUCAAACAGG